AGCCAUCAUGGUGUAGUGGUUUGAGUGCUGGACUAGGACUCUAGAGAGCAGGGUUCAAAUCUCAGCUUGGCUG